CCUACGGGUGGCAGCAGUGGGGGAUAUUGCACAAUGGGGGGAACCCUGAUGCAGCGACGCCGCGUGGGUGAAGGAGCGUUUCGGUGUGUAAAGCUCUAUCAGCAGGGAAGAAGAUGACGGUACCUGACUAAGAAGCCCCGGCUAACUACGUGCCAGCAGCCGCGGUAAUACGUAGGGGGCAAGCGUUAUCCGGAUUUACUGGGUGUAAAGGGGUCGUAGACGGCUAUGCAAGUCUGAAGUGAAAGCCCAAGGCUCAACCACGGGACUGCUUUGGAAACUGUAUGACUGGAGUACAGGAGAGGCAAGCGGAAUUCCUAGUGUAGCGGUGAAAUGCGUAGAUAUUAGGAGGAACACCAGUGGCGAAGGCGGCCUACUGGACUGUAACUGACGUUGAGGCUCGAAGGCGUGGGGAGCAAACAGGAUUAGAUACCCGAGUAGUC
rnacentral:rRNA from 1 species